rnacentral:rRNA from 1 species
UACGAAGGGUGCAAGCGUUGCUCGGAAUUAUUGGGCGUAAAGGGCAGGUAGGUGGUCUGAUUUGUCUAUAGGUGAAAUCCCUGGGCUUAACCCAGGACGUGCCUUAGAAACGGUCGGACUAGAGUUCUAGAGAGGGUCGUGGAAUUCCCGGUGUAGCGGUGAAAUGCGUAGAGAUCGGGAGGAACACCUGUGGCGAAGGCGGCGACCUGGAUAGAGACUGACACUCAACUGCGAAAGCGUGGGGAGCAAACAGG